UGGGGAAUAUUGCACAAUGGGCGGAAGCCUGAUGCAGCAACGCCGCGUGAGUGAUGAAGGCCUUCGGGUUGUAAAGCUCUGUCUUUUGGGACGAUAAUGACGGUACCAAAGGAGGAAGCCACGGCUAACUACGUGCCAGCAGCCGCGGUAAUACGUAGGUGGCAAGCGUUGUCCGGAUUUACUGGGCGUAAAGGAUGCGUAGGCGGAUUUUUAAGUGAGAUGUGAAAUACCCGGGCUUAACUUGGGUGCUGCAUUUCAAACUGGGAAUCUAGAGUGCGGGAGAGGAGAAUGGAAUUCCUAGUGUAGCGGUGAAAUGCGUAGAGAUUAGGAAGAACACCAGUGGCGAAGGCGAUCUCUGGACCGUAACUGACGCUGAGGCAUGAAAGCGUGGGUAGCAAACAGGAUUAGAUACCCUGGUAGUCCACGCCGUAAACGAUGAGUACUAGGUGUAGGAGGUAUCGACCCCUUCUGUGCCGCAGUUAACACAAUCAAGUACUCCGCCUGGGAAGUACGAUCGCAAGA
rnacentral:rRNA from 1 species